GGUGCCAGUUCAAAUAGCAUGACCCUAAUCUAAUUCAAUGACUUGGUGAAGUCAGUAGAAAGAUUAUAGUUUACUGGUUGAUCUCUUCUCUUUUUUUAAUUCAUAAAUUAAAUCUUCUAAAUUAUUAGGUCUCUAAAAUAAGCUAGUUAUAGGGAUAACUAGAUCAUAGCUCCCAUUAAGGUGAAUGGUAAUGGAUCCAUUAUUUCUGAUUGACAAUACAGGCACCAUCCGUCU
rnacentral:lncRNA from 1 species